rnacentral:rRNA from 1 species
CCUACGGGCGGCAGCAGUGAGGAAUAUUGGUCAAUGGACGAGAGUCUGAACCAGCCAAGUAGCGUGAAGGAUGACUGCCCUAUGGGUUGUAAACUUCUUGUAUAAAGGAAUAAAACGAGGCACGUGUGCCUUUUUGCAUGUACUUUAUGAAUAAGGAUCGGCUAACUCCGUGCCAGCAGCCGCGGUAAUACGGAGGAACCGAGCUUUAUCCGGAUUUAUUGGGUUUAAAGGGAGCGUAGAUGGGUUGUUAAAGCAGUUGGGAAAGUUUGCGUCUCAACCGUAAAAUUGCAAGUGAUACUGGCAGUCUUGAGUACAGUUGAGGUAGGCGGAAUUCGUGGUGUAGCGGUGAAAUGCUUAGAUAUCACGAAGAACCCCGAUUGCGAAGGCAGCUUACUAAACUGUGACUGACAUUGAUGCUCGAAAGUGUGGGUAUCAAACAGGAUUAGAUACCCGGGUAGUC